rnacentral:rRNA from 1 species
GAUGAACGCUGGCGGCGUGCCUAAUACAUGCAAGUCGAGCGAACAGAUGAGGAGCUUGCUCCUCUGACGUUAGCGGCGGACGGGUGAGUAACACGUGGAUAACCUACCUAUAAGACUGGGAUAACUUCGGGAAACCGGAGCUAAUACCGGAUAAUAUAUUGAACCGCAUGGUUCAAUAGUGAAAGACGGUUUUGCUGUCACUUAUAGAUGGAUCCGCGCCGCAUUAGCUAGUUGGUAAGGUAACGGCUUACCAAGGCAACGAUGCGUAGCCGACCUGAGAGGGUGAUCGGCCACACUGGAACGUAGACACGGUCCAGACUCCUACGGGAGGCAGCAGUAGGGAAUCUUCCGCAGAGGGCGAAAGCCUGACGGAGCAACGCCGCGUGAGUGAUGAAGGUCUUCGGAUCGUAAAACUCUGUUAUUAGGGAAGAACAAAUGUGUAAGUAACUAUGCACGUCUUGACGGUACCGAAUCAGAAAGCCACGGCUAACUACGUG